GGAAAGGUAUAUAUUUUAAAAAUUGAAGGUUGAAAUUGAGUGCUAGAAGAAAAGAUUACUCAAAAGAAAGCAAAAGAAGAAGAAGUGAAAAUAGGUGCAGACCGUUGAGCGGUUCAUUUUACUGCUGAGCAGUUGCGGUGCUGAGGGUCUCGGCUUUGCUUAAAAGCUGAGCGGUUUUUCACAUUUUUCACUUUGAAACCCUUCUUUGCAUUUCGCCUG
rnacentral:lncRNA from 1 species